rnacentral:rRNA from 1 species
GACGUAGGGCGCGAGCGUUGUCCGGAUUUAUUGGGCGGAAAGAGCUCGUAGGCGGCUUGUCGCGUCAACUGUGAAAACCCGUGGCUCAACCAUGUGGUCUGCAGUCGAUACGGGCAGGCUAGAAUUCGGUAGGGGAGACUGGAAUUCCUGGUGUAGCGGUGAAAUGCGCAGAUAUCAGGAGGAACACCGGUGGCGAAGGCGGGUCUCUGGGCCGAUAUUGACGCUGAGGAGCGAAAGCGUGGGGAGCGAACAGG